ncrna:unclassified sequences skipping-rope RNA
AAAGCGUGAGGAUAGAAAAGCGUCGGCUAUUGCGGACUAUGAAAUAGUCUCAAGUGUAGAAGAUUAUUAAUCUUUGAUGAGAUGUUGGAAGUGAUGCCCAACCACGCCUA